rnacentral:rRNA from 1 species
GCUUACGACUAUACCACCCUGAAUCUCGGAAGCUAAGCAGGGUCGGGCCUGGUUAGUACUUGGAUGGGAGACCGCUUGGGAAUACCAGGUGCUGUAAGCC